rnacentral:rRNA from 1 species
AGCAGUCUAGAGGCUUCGGCAAUGGGGGCAACCCUGACCGAGCGACGCCGCGUGCGCGAUGAAGGCCUUCGGGUCGUAAAGCGCUGUCGGCUGGGAAGAAGGCGUGGGUGGAGACCCUCCCGCGCUUGACGGUACCAGCAAAGGAAGCCCCGGCUAACUCCGUGCCAGCAGCCGCGGUAAUACGGAGGGGGCAAGCGUUAUUCGGAAUCAUUGGGCGUACAGAGCUCGUAGGCGGGCAUGCAGGUCUGGUGUGAAAUCUCCACCGCUCAACGGGGAGAAGCCAUUGGAAACCGUGUGCCUUGAGUGCGGCAGAGGUUGGUGGAAUUCCCGGUGUAGCGGUGGAAUGCGUAGAUAUCGGGAGGAACACCCGUGGCGAAGGCGACCAACUGGGCCGUAACUGACGCUGAGGAGCGAAAGCCAGGGGAGCAAACGGGAUUAGAUACCCCGGUAGUCCUGGCCGUAAACGAUGGAUACCAGACGUGGGAGGUAUCGACCCCUUCCGUGUCGCAGCCAACGCUUUAAGUAUCCCGCCUGGGAAGUACGGUCGCAAGACUGAAACUCAAAGGAAUUGACGGAAUCGUCG